UGCAGGUGAUGAGAAGGGAAGAAAAGGAUGAGAAAACAGAAAAACAAUAGGAUUUAGAGAUGAGAAUGAUAGAAACUCUGCAAAGAGUUGUUUUGAAUCUAUAUUAUAAAAAGAAGUGUUGUCUGUCUAGCCUGUUAAAUCCGACCAUCGAUUUAAUCAUCUCAUGACACGGAUCUAUAGUUGGGCGAGGGAUAUUUUGGAGCAUUAGAUCGAGAUACAAGACAAGAAGACGUAUCCUAAUACAAUACAACUCGGCUUCUUAACGCGGAAAAAACAAUAGCUAACUGGAUUGCCGUUUAUAGAACAAAUUCCGGAUUUAACUGGAUUUCGUUAUCCGUGUUUAUGGUAUCUUUGUGCACGCUCUAUAUAAGAAGCCUUCGCCAUGUUCUUCAUUCUUCUCCGAUGUCGUUUCUCUGAAUUAAAUUGUAUUGAUUGGGAUCUGCUGAUUUUCUUCAGGUUUUUUUACAGGGUGGAUGUGGAAUCAGAAAGAUGUUCAGCUUUCUAAGGGUGGUGAAUCCAUGCAUCAAAACGAUUAGGUAAUUAUAUUAUUUAUUUAUUUAUUCGUUUGAAAUUAAUUGAUUAAUAUCAAGCAUGUCUUCUUCUUCAUCUUUUCAAGCAGCUAUCGAUGGAAACCAGAACACAAUACCAUUGUGUUUGAUUAGGGAUUCAUUUAUCCCGAGGAAAGAAGUGAGGUGUUUGAAGCAAUGGAAAGUUUUGAUUGAUUAGGAAUUAUUACUCAUUAGUUUUUUAAGCGUAUAAUUUUGAGAUUGUAUUUUAAUGAUUUUGUUAGGGUUCAAUCUGAGGAUUUGUUUUAUUUUGAUUUGGUUAUUUUUUUUUGUUUUGUUUUUUCUUGCCGGGUUUGUUGGUGUAGACAUGAUGGUCUAUUAUUAGACUAUUCAAAACAGGGUUUAAUGCUUACAUUAUUGGCAAUAUUGAUGAUUCUGUUGAAGAUCUUCGACUCGUAGUGAUGCAUUGAAACUAUGAUGAUUUUCAUCUAAGGAUUUUAUAUGAGGGACUAUCUUUGAAGCUCAAGGGUUUAUCCAUGGCGAUACCAUAGGAACAGUGAACCUUAAAUUGUACACUCAAUGUGGAUGACACAUAAGUGAUGCAUUGAAACUAUGAUGAUUUUCAUCUAAGGAUUUUAUAUGAGGGAACCAUCUUUGAAGCUCAACGGUUUAUCCAUGGCGAUACCAUAGGAACAAUGAACCUUAAAUUGUACGCGAGGCUCAAUAUCAGGACUUAACCCAAUGGUUUUAAUGAAGGUAAUCUUCUUAAUAAAGAUAUUUACAGUUCGUUGAUGAAGAGAUUUCCUGCUUCGUUGAAACCCUAUAUAUGCUAAUUCAUGAAGGUAAUUUUUUUCUCAACUUCACUUCUAGAACUUAGUAUAUUAUGUUCAUGUUCAUAAGAUAAAGGUAGUGCUGGAUUUUGGAUGCUUGAAGAUUAGUGAGAGUAAUUCCAAAAUUCUGCUUGAGUUUUGAUUGUUUGUUGUGCUUCAGAUGGACGUAAAAGUAUUAAUUAUCUGCGUUUGUACAGGUUCAAAUUUCUUCGACAGUGCCUUAUACAAGUUCUUAGUGCACUUGGCUGGAUUUCAUUGAUGAAUUUUUCUGCCUUGAUCUAUUGGCCUUCCUUUAGUUGAUGCAAGUUGAAAGCUUACCCAAGUUUUGGUAUGCACCGGCAUUGAUCUUUUAAUUGUUUAGUUUUAUUAUUUUCUUUCAGUAAUCUCCACAUUUUCAUACAAUUGUUUCUACCAUUCAAUUUCCAUCUGUAGUCUUCUCAACAGAAAAUCAUCACGGUACAUACAUUACAGAUAGAGUUCUUUGGUAAAUCAUUAAGUAGACUACUGUUUCAGCGGUCUAUGCACUAUAAGACUUAAGAUUAUGUUGUUGUGGUAAUAUGUGUGCAUCAAGCAGGGGAUCAGGGAGCACAAAAAAAAUAUGUUAGAUUAACCAUCAUGUUUACUGGUUUUGUUAUUCAACGGCUUACAAAAAGGUUUUGUUUGCACUACUCUUCAUUGAUUAGUGACCAGAAUCAGAAUCUU